GAUCAUGGCUCAGGACGAACGCUGGCGGCGUGCUUAACACAUGCAAGUCGAACGAGGAUUAUGUUGGAGGGGCUUCGGCCUGGAAGAUGUAAUUCGAGUGGCGGACGGGUGAGUAACGCGUGAACAAUCUGUCCCGGACAGGGGAAUAACACUUGGAAACAGGUGCUAAUACCGCAUAAGACCACGCCCUCGCAUGGGGGAGGGGUAAAAGGAGCAAUCCGGUUCGGGGUGAGUUCGCGUCCGAUUAGAUAGUUGGUGAGGUAACGGCCCACCAAGUCGACGAUCGGUAGCCGACCUGAGAGGGUGAUCGGCCACAUUGGAACUGAGAGACGGUCCAAACUCCUACGGGAGGCAGCAGUGGGGAAUAUUGGGCAAUGGGCGAAAGCCCUGACCCAGCAACGCCGCGUGAGUGAAGAAGGCUUUCGGGUUGUAAAGCUCUGUUAUAGGGGACGAAGGAAGUGACGGUACCCUAUAAGGAAGCCCCGGCUAACUACGUGCCAGCCGCUGC
rnacentral:rRNA from 1 species